rnacentral:rRNA from 1 species
CAGCCGCCACGGUAAUACGAAGGGGGCUAGCGUUGCUCGGAAUGACUGGGCGUAAAGGGCGCGUAGGCGGCGAUCAAAGUCAGGCGUGAAAUUCCUGGGCUCAACCUGGGGGCUGCGCUUGAUACUUGGUUGCUUGAGUGGGGAAGAGGGUCGUGGAAUUCCCAGUGUAGAGGUGAAAUUCGUAGAUAUUGGGAAGAACACCGGUGGCGAAGGCGGCGACCUGGUCCUUGACUGACGCUGAGGCGUGAAAGCGUGGGGAGCAAACAGGAUUAGAUACCCCUGUAGUCCCUGUCUCUUAUAC